rnacentral:rRNA from 1 species
AGGAUGAACGCUAGCUACAGGCUUAACACAUGCAAGUCGAGGGGCAGCAUGGUCUUAGCUUGCUAAGGCCGAUGGCGACCGGCGCACGGGUGAGUAACACGUAUCCAACCUGCCGUCUACUCUUGGACAGCCUUCUGAAAGGAAGAUUCAUACAAGAUGGCAUCAUGAGUCCACAUGUUCACAUGAUUAAAGGUAUUCCGGUAGACGAUGGGGAUGCGUUCCAUUAGAUAGUAGGCGGGGUAACGGCCCACCUAGUCUUCGAUGGAUAGGGGUUCUGAGAGGAAGGUCCCCCACAUUGGAACUGAGACACGGUCCAAACUCCUACGGGAGGCAGCAGUGAGGAAUAUUGGUCAAUGGGCGAGAGCCUGAACCAGCCAAGUAGCGUGAAGGAUGACUGCCCUAUGGGUUGUAAACUUCUUUUAUAAAGGAAUAAAGUCGGGUAUGCAUACCCGUUUGCAUGUACUUUAUGAAUAAGGAUCGGCUAACUCCGUGCCAGCAGCCGCGGUAAUACGGAGGAUCCGAGCGUUAUCCGGAUUUAUUGGGUUUAAAGGGAGCGUAGAUGGAUGUUUAAGUCAGUUGUGAAAGUUUGCGGCUCAACCGUAAAAUUGCAGUUGAUACUGGAUAUCUUGAGUGCAGUUGAGGCAGGCGGAAUUCGUGGUGUAGCGGUGAAAUGCUUAGAUAUCACGAAGAACUCCGAUUGCGAAGGCAGCCUGCUAAGCUGCAACUGACAUUGAGGCUCGAAAGUGUGGGUAUCAAACAGGAUUAGAUACCCUGGUAGUCCACACGGUAAACGAUGAAUACUCGCUGUUUGCGAUAUACUGCAAGCGGCCAAGCGAAAGCGUUAAGUAUUCCACCUGGGGAGUACGCCGGCAACGGUGAAACUCAAAGGAAUUGACGGGGGCCCGCACAAGCGGAGGAACAUGUGGUUUAAUUCGAUGAUACGCGAGGAACCUUACCCGGGCUUAAAUUGCAGAUGAAUUACGGUGAAAGCCGUAAGCCGCAAGGCAUCUGUGAAGGUGCUGCAUGGUUGUCGUCAGCUCGUGCCGUGAGGUGUCGGCUUAAGUGCCAUAACGAGCGCAACCCUUGUUGUCAGUUACUAACAGGUUCUGCUGAGGACUCUGACAAGACUGCCAUCGUAAGAUGUGAGGAAGGUGGGGAUGACGUCAAAUCAGCACGGCCCUUACGUCCGGGGCUACACACGUGUUACAAUGGGGGGUACAGAGGGCCGCUACCACGCGAGUGGAUGCCAAUCCCAAAAACCUCUCUCAGUUCGGACUGGAGUCUGCAACCCGACUCCACGAAGCUGGAUUCGCUAGUAAUCGCGCAUCAGCCACGGCGCGGUGAAUACGUUCCCGGGCCUUGUACACACCGCCCGUCAAGCCAUGGGAGCCGGGGGUACCUGAAGUGCGUAACCGCGAGGAGCGCCCUAGGGUA